rnacentral:lncRNA from 1 species
GCUAGGUCACGAGUUGGGUCAGCGGGCUAGGUGGCAAGCUAGGUGACUCAGGUCACCCGUCUACGAGUAUCUCCCCUCUAUGCGAUGUCUCAUACACGCCACCGUCAUCUUCUAGGAUCAAUCCAAAAGCCCACAACUCAUCGUCGUUGAUGUUUUUCUGGGUCAUUUGUCUCAGCGGCCCAUAAGGCUUCCUAGUUUGAUGGCAUCGAUGAUCCAUCUUACUUGAUCUAAUCUUGCACGAAUUAGAUCCUUAGGCUUCAUGGGAUUGGGCCUUGUCGUCGAAUCGCGACUUUGUUUCCUUGGUCCAGGCUUCCCCCGGG